rnacentral:rRNA from 1 species
ACGCUCGACACCUACGGGAGGCAGCAGUGGGGAAUAUUGCACAAUGGGGGAAACCCUGAUGCAGCGACGCCGCGUGAGCGAAGAAGUAUUUCGGUAUGUAAAGCUCUAUCAGCAGGGAAGAAAAUGACGGUACCUGACUAAGAAGCCCCGGCUAACUACGUGUCAGCAGCCGCGGUAAUCGUGAGGCGGGCUGGCAAGGC